CGGUGUCAGAGGAAGGCCCCAAAUCUUGUCAAAGACUCCAGCCACCCCAGUCAUAGAUUGUUCUCUCUACUACUGCAUGGCAAGCGGUACCGGAGUGCCAAGUCUAGGACAAAAAGGCUUCUCAACAGUUUUUAACCCCCAAGCCAUAAGACUCCUGAACAGGUAAUCAAAUGUCUUCCCGGACUAUUUGCAUUGUGUGCCCCCCAAACCUCUCUUUUACGCUGCUGCUACUCUCUGUUUAUCAUAUACGCAUAGUCACUUUAACUGUACAUUCAUGUACAUACCACCUCAAUUUGCCCGACCAAUCAGUGCUCCCGCACAUUGGCUAACUGAGCUGUCCCGCCACCCACCAACCGCCAACCUCUCUUUUACUCUGCUGCUACUGCUUUAACCAUAUCUACAUGUACAUACUACCUCAAUCAGCCUGACUAACCAGUGUCUGUAUGUAGCCUCACUACUUUAAAUAGCCUCGCUACUUUUAUAGCCUCACUACUGUUUUUCACUGUCUUUUUACUGUUGUUUUUAUUUCUUUACUUAUCUAUUGUUCACCUAAUACCUUUUUGGCACUAUUGGUUAGAGCCUGUAAGUAAGCAUUUCAAAUCAAAUCAAAUUUUAUUUGUCACAUCAAAUCAAUCAAUCAAAUUAUAGCAUUUCACUAUAAGGUCAACACCUGUUGUAUUCGGCGCAUGUGACAAAUAAACUUUGAUUUGAUUUGAUAGACUACCCAAACAUACAACAUUAUGCACGCUUGACUGUAAAUCGCUUUGGGUUAAAGUGCUAAAUGUCACAUUAUAUAUAUAUGUAUCUUGGCACACAAGACUUUUCACCAUGCUGAAGCAGUAAAUCGGUACUCCAUCUCCUCUGUAACUGUUGGUAACGAUCUGACUACAGUAAAACCCACUGACCAAGAAUGUGAAUUUAGAGAAUUCUUUCCAUCUGGUCUUUUAACAUUAAACAUGACGUUAGCCUGUCGACUCCACACUCUGCCGAUGAGACACAUUCACCACAACAUGACGUUACGCUGUCGACCCCACACUCUGCCGAUGAGACACAUUCACCACAACAUGACGUUACGCUGUCGACCCCACACUCUGCCGAUGAGACACAUUCACCACAACAUGAUGUUACCCUGUCGACCCCAC
rnacentral:lncRNA from 13 species